GAAACUUGGGCUAAUACCGAAUGUGCCCGCAAGGGGAAAGAUUUAUCGCCAAUAGAUCAGCCCGCGUAGGAUUAGCUAGUUGGUGGGGUAAUGGCCCACCAAGGCUCCGAUCCUUAGCUGUUCUGAGAGGAAGAUCAGCCACACUGGGACUGAGACACGGCCCAGACUCCUACGGGAGGCAGCAGUUGGGAAUCUUGGACAAUGGGCGAAAGCCUGAUCCAGCCAUGCCGCGUGAGUGAUGAAGGCCUUCGGGUUGUAAAACUCUUUCGACGGGGACGAUAAUGACGGUACCCGUAGAAGAAGCUCCGGCUAACUUCGUGCCAGCAGCCGCGGUAAUACGAAGGGGGCUAGCGUUGUUCGGAAUUACUGGGCGUAAAGCGCGCGCAGGCGGUUUUCCAAGUCAGUGGUGAAAGCCCGGAGCUCAACUCCGGAACUGCCAUUGAAACUGUUAAACUUGAGGACGAGAGAGGUGAGUGGAAUUCCCAGUGUAGAGGUGAAAUUCGUAGAUAUUGGGAAGAACACCGGUGGCGAAGGCGGCU
rnacentral:rRNA from 1 species